ensembl:lncRNA
CUUGCGUGGCUGGAGUCCUGUUCUGCUGUGGCUGCCUCAACUUCAUGGGAUUUUCAUGGGAAAGAAGAAAACCCAUCAUGUCAGGUGAUUCUUCAAAGGACCCACUCCUGCUCCCUGCAAAGAUUAACUGAUUGACUCUGCUGAAGUCACAUAAGUGCUGAUAAUACCAAGAAUUUGGCCUGCACUUUAUCAGCAGCCUUCAAAUCUCAUUACCAGGAGACGUCUACAUUCAUUAGAUCUCUAACUCUCUUGCCUUAAAUUCUCUAGCUAUGAAAUUCAAGAUAUAAUCCCUACAUUUAUUCCAGUCUUAUUCCAGGCAUAAAAAUCAACAGAAGAAAAGUUCAGGAUAUCUUGUAAGAUUUAUUUCCACUACAGUA